rnacentral:rRNA from 1 species
UACAGAGGUCUCAAGCGUUGUUCGGAUUCAUUGGGCGUAAAGGGUGCGUAGGUGGCGCGGUAAGUCGGGUGUGAAAUUUCGGAGCUUAACUCCGAAACUGCAUUCGAUACUGCCGUGCUUGAGGACUGGAGAGGAGACUGGAAUUUACGGUGUAGCAGUGAAAUGCGUAGAGAUCGUAAGGAAGACCAGUGGCGAAGGCGGGUCGUCUGGACAGUUCCUGACACUGAGGCACGAAGGCCAGGGGAGCAAACGGG